ACCUUUUGUAUAAUGGGUCAGCGACUUAUAUUCUGUAGCAAGGUUAACCAAAUAGGGGAGCCGAAGGGAAACCGAGUCUUAACUGGGCGUUAAGUUGCAGGGUAUAGACCCGAAACCCGGUGAUCUAGCCAUGGGCAGGUUGAAGGUUGGGUAACACUAACUGGAGGACCGAACCGACUAAUGUUGAAAAAUUAGCGGAUGACUUGUGGCUGGGGGUGAAAGGCCAAUCAAACCGGGAGAUAGCUGGUUCUCCCCGAAAGCUAUUUAGGUAGCGCCUCGUGAAUUCAUCUCCGGGGGUAGAGCACUGUUUCGGCAAGGGGGUCAUCCCGACUUACCAACCCGAUGCAAACUGCGAAUACCGGAGAAUGUUAUCACGGGAGACACACGGCGGGUGCUAACGUCCGUCGUGAAGAGGGAAACAACCCAGACCGCCAGCUAAGGUCCCAAAGUCAUGGUUAAGUGGGAAACGAUGUGGGAAGGCCCAGACAGCCAGGAUGUUGGCUUAGAAGCAGCCAUCAUUUAAAGAAAGCGUAAUAGCUCACUGGUCGAGUCGGCCUGCGCGGAAGAUGUAACGGGGCUAAACCAUGCACCGAAGCUGCGGCAGCGACGCUUAUGCGUUGUUGGGUAGGGGAGCGUUCUGUAAGCCUGUGAAGGUGUACUGUGAGGUAUGCUGGAGGUAUCAGAAGUGCGAAUGCUGACAUAAGUAACGAUAAAGCGGGUGAAAAGCCCGCUCGCCGGAAGACCAAGGGUUCCUGUCCAACGUUAAUCGGGGCAGGGUGAGUCGACCCCUAAGGCGAGGCCGAAAGGCGUAGUCGAUGGGAAACAGGUUAAUAUUCCUGUACUUGGUGUUACUGCGAAGGGGGGACGGAGAAGGCUAUGUUGGCCGGGCGACGGUUGUCCCGGUUUAAGCGUGUAGGCUGGUUUUCCAGGCAAAUCCGGAAAAUCAAGGCUGAGGCGUGAUGACGAGGCACUACGGUGCUGAAGCAACAAAUGCCCUGCUUCCAGGAAAAGCCUCUAAGCAUCAGGUAACAUC
rnacentral:rRNA from 1 species